GCUAGCAAUCAGCGAGACUCCGUGGGCGUAGGACCCUCCGAGCCAGGUGCGGGAUGUAAUCUCGUGGUGCGCCGUUUUUUAAGCCCGUCGGAAAAGCGCAGUAUUCGGGUGGGAGUGACCCGAUUUUCCAGGUGCCGUCUGUCACCCCUUUCUUUGACUUGGAAAGGGAACUCCCUGACCCCUCGCGCUUCCCAGGUGAGGCAAUGCCUCGCCCUGCUUCGGCUCGUCCACGAUGCGCGCACCCACUGGCCUGCGCCCACUGUCUGGCACUCCCUAGUGAGAGAAACCCGGUACCUCAGAUGGAAAUGCAGAAAUCACCCGUCUUCUGCGUCGCUCACGCUGGGAGCUGUAGACCGGAGCUGUUCCUAUUCGGCCAUCUUGGCUCUCCCUUAGUUGUUAAUCCCAAAGAAGCCUGAUUAUGUCUUCUAUUUUUCUCCUUGACCUGCUGGAUUUUUCUGUGCCCCUAUGCUCCGCUUCUCUCAACCAUCUUUAAUAUGAUUCCCCCAUAGACUCCAUCGUGUUCUUCACCAUGGACACACAUAGAAGAAACUCAAUAGACUUUUAGGGAAUCUAAACGUUUUUUCUUUCCUUGUGGCUGCAAUGUUAUACAGCAAUCUACUUUUAUAAACUGGAGAAAAUAAUGAAACUGCCAUUCAUAUCAUUUUUAACUUAUUUUAUGGUUUCAACAACUUUUCAAUUCAUUAUGCCGUGGCCCAAAUUGCUGCUUGUGAAGGAAGUGGGAAACUUGGCUUGGUUGUUCAUUCAAGAAAUGGGGAAGCAGAGAAGCAAAUAUGGAGCUCUCCCCAGAGCAGAGGGUCUUUGCCUUUGCUGGGUGCCACCUACACUUUCAACUCAAUUUUACUUAAAAAAUAUCCUAUUUUGUCAUUAAAUUCCAAUUUCUUCAUCUUCACAGGCUAUAUUUCUAUCAUAGUCUACUGUAAUAUGCUAUAAUACUAUAAUAUGAUGCCAUAAAAUGAUUGUGUUACAAAACUAUAUUAUAAUAUUUUGUAUUACCAAAGAUAGAUCAAUCUGAGCUUUGACUCACAUGUAAAUGUCGUGGACAGAUCACUCUGAUCUGUCGUGCUUUUUAGAUUGAGAUCAAAUUUUCAGUUUUGUUUUUAAUUUCUAAUCAUUCCAUUGGAUUUGUAUCUGUUUUCAGCAUCCAAAAUAAGAUAAAAACCAUGCCAAACUCCAAGGCAGGCUUUCGGAUGUGCUUAUUCAGUGUGAAUUUCAACUCCAGAAGCUUGUACAACAUUUGUUUGAACUCGGGCUCUAGUUCCUAACUGCUACUUUGGAAUCCAAGGAGGCCCUGUGAUCACCUACCCAAGAGCCCCCUGUUUUAGCUGAUUUAUAACAUGCCUGCUUUCAGGAUGGCAAGCUUUUCGGCCCAUUUUAGGAUUUCAGAAUGUACUGCUUUAUGACAGGUUGAAGUUGAAUGCCAAACUCCCUUUUCUCUGUUCCACACUUCAUUGAUACUUUUAUAUAUUGAACACCCACUUCUGCAUCACUGCAGUGGGCCACAUUUCUGAAAGUCAUAAAAAUGAACUAUUAAUACAAACUUUUAAAUAAGCUUUUCUAAGUCUAAUAACAAUAUGGGCACAAUGAAAACUUAAGAACUUGAAAAAUCACAGAAAGUUGAAACAGACACAGGAAACAAUGAAUAUAUUAAGUCCAUUCUUGCUCUUUCCCUCUCUUGAAAAAGAGAUAAAUAUAGAUAUAAACAUAGAUAUAAAAUUAAAUGUACAAUGAACUCCUUCCUACUCAACUGACUUAUGGCAGAUCUUCAAAGCACUGUCACAUAAUAAUUUGAAAAAUACCCUCCCUUUUCCCUUCCCCUGAAAAACAGCCUUAUUCUAAAAUUCAUCAUUAUUACUGAAUUGUUUAAUUGCAAUUAUAAAUGGUUUGCUUAGAACAGCUAUUUUUGUUCUGCUGUACUCAAACACACUUUAUUUUAUUGGUUACCCUUUUCCUUUUAUUUAUAAUGUCUUCAUCCAUUCUAUUUUCAAACUUCAAAAUAAUAUCUACUUUCAUAGAGGUCUUUUUAAAUUCUUAUUAGCUUUAAUAAUAUUCAAAUUCAGCUGGGCGUGGUGGCUCAUGCCUGUAAUCCCAGCACUUCAGGUGGCCGAGGUGGGCGGAUCAUGAGGUCAGGAGAUCGAGACCAUCCUGGCUAACACGGUGAAACCCCGUCUCUACUAAAAAUACCAAAAAUUAGCCAGGCGAGUUGGCGGGCACCUGUAGUCCCAGCUACUCUGGAGGCUGAGGCAGGAGAAUGGCGUAAACCCGGGAGGCAGAGCUUGCAGUGAGCUGAGAUCGCGCCACUGCACUCGAGCCUGGGUGACAGAGCAAGAGUCCGUCUCAAAAAAAAAAUAAUAAUAAUAAUCUUCAAAUUCUAAGUUAGCCAAUAUUUUCUAAAUAACAGCACAGGAUAAUAAGUGAAUGAAUCAUUCCUUAUUAAUUCCACUAUCUUAUAUGAAUGCUAUACAUUUGAACCCAUUAAGAUAUACUUCUA
rnacentral:lncRNA from 10 species